CCAAACUGAAAUUUAUCAUAAAUCCAUGAAUAUACUGAAAUUCUGACCAUAAUUAGUCCUCAUUUCUGUCCAGAUCAUCUCAUUAUACUCCAAGGACCAUUCUGGAAUUUUACCAAAUUUUUAGGGUUAAAUUGUAAUUUUUGUCAAAUUGAAGGACUAAAUUGAAAGUGUUAAAUUCUCUUAUCUAUACAGUAAUUCUGUCCAUAAUUCAUAUGUUAUUCUGUUCAGAAUCUCGGAAUAUGCUCCAGGGACCAAUCUGCAAAUUUUCCAAAGUUUGGGGACUAAACUGUAAUUUUCCAAAAUUGAGGGACCAAAUUGAAUUUUCGUCAUCUUCAACCUCCAACCCAGAAUUUUUAACAGAAACCUACUGUUCUUGCCAAAUUUCUAACUCAACAUUCACCAUU
rnacentral:lncRNA from 1 species